ensembl:lncRNA
CUUCAAUCCAGUGACACUGGCUUCCUGACUGUUCCAGAAACAAGACCUUCUAUAUGGGCUUUUUAUUGGACUGUCCUCCCAUGCCUGGAAUUCUCUCCUUCCUCAACUCUGACUCCUGACCUCCAUGGCUUCCGUUAAACCCUGUCUAAAAUCCCACCUUCUCAGAAGCCUUUUCCCAAUGAUGCUUAAUUCCAGUGCCUUCCUUCUUUUGAUUAUUUCCUAUUUAUCCUGUAUAUAACUUACUUUGUAUAUAAUUGUUUAUAUGUCAUCUUCCUCAUUUGAUUGGAAGCUCCUUGAGAGCAGGGACUAUCUUUGCCUCCUUUUUAUCCCUAGCAUUUAGCACAGUUCCUGAAACACUAAAUAAAUGUUGAUAGAUUGAUUCAUUCAUUCAUUAAUCCUAUGUGUUUUCUUUCUGCAUUAACAGCAUCAUUCAGAGAAGAUGUCCAGAAGAGGUUCAUAGGAUUUUCUGGACUGCCAUGGGGUCCACAAUUCCAUAAAGGUUAAGAACUCCAUCACUAAAAAAUUAGGCUGAAGGCUCAUGAGCUCGAUGGGGGCGAUGGAUGAGAUCAUCUCUCAGUUCUUGGGUGCUCUGACGCAUUGUGUCUAAGGCAGAGUCCAUGAGUCUAGGGAAGAGGCACUGACCCAAACCUUCCACCAGAUGGCGCCAUGAGGCAACAUUCGCACCUGCAGCUCUCCUCAGCAUCAGCAUCCAAUCCCUACACUGAUGCCAGGGCCAAAAUAUUCCAAGUGCCAGUCCAUAUGAUGCUUAAAGACAGCUUUUGUGACCUGCUCAGAGUCUUCUCUUCUCCAGGAUAUACAAGCUCAAGUUCUUCACCUGAUCUGCACACAGAACAAUGGAUCACCCUUUUCUGUACCAUCUCUAGCUUAUGUCCUCUCUAAAUUGUGGGGUACAGAACAAGAGGCACAGUAUUCCAAGUGUGAUCUGGCCAGGGCAGAGAACUGCCAAUCUCCACUUCUGGAUCUUAUGCCUUUCUCAAUGUAGCUUAUAGUCAUGUUAAUCUUUUCAUCUUAUUAUCAGAGCACUCUUCCACCCUUGAACAUUUCAUAACACAAGGAAUAUCAGAGCUAGGAAGGACUUUAGAGCAGAGAAUGUCAGUAGUGAGAGGACCAUAAGACACAGAAUGUCAGAACUGAAAGAGAUCUUAGAAUAUUGAAAGUUAGAGCUAAAAGGAACUUUAGAACAAAGAAGGCAAGAGCUGGAAAGAGCUUAGAACUCAUCAAAUACAAUUCCUCUGACUUUCCAGAGCAACUCUUCCCAUAGUUCUGAGAUGUUUGAGGAUUAGAAGUAAUUUCCCUACAAAUUGCACAGCAAUUAGUACGAAAUACUGGGCUUAAACCUAGUUAUCUGAAAUCCAAGCCCAAGGGCCCUUUCCUCCAUACCCCAUUGCUUCCCUGAGGGGAAGAGAGUCAGGGGAAAGUGAUAAGGCAGUAGGGCAGGAUCUAGAACUCCUGUUUGUGUGUGUGUGUCUUUUUCUCUGUCCAUUUCUGUCUCUGUCUGUCUGUCUGUCUGUCUGUCUGUCUCUCUCUCCUGUCUCUGUCUCUUUACCUCUUUUUCUGCUGCACCUCAUGGAAGGUUUGGGUUAGAUUUCAAACCAACCUAUUGGAGUCAUUAGGAGGAAUGAGAAGAGAAAGAAAAGGAGCAAGAGAGAAGGAAAGAGCAGUAGAGUGAAAGAAAAGAAAAGAAAAGAAAAGAGAGAAAAGGUAGAAUAGGAAAGAGAGGAAUAGAAGGAAGGAAGAAGAGAAGGAAUGAAAGAGAGAGAAGCUUCUACUGAAAGAAGAUAUUGGGAUGGAAGGAAAGGGGAGAAGGAAGUAAACAGGGAGGAAGGAAGAGGAAAGUUUGGAGACAAUGAGUAAGGGAGAAGGAAAUGACAGAGAGAAA